rnacentral:rRNA from 1 species
AGCUCGUAGUUGGAUUUCAGUUCUGGACUGACGGUUCACCGCCCGGUGCAUACUGUCACGCUCCGAACAGCCACAACAGCCCGCUGGCUCGCACGGGGUGCUCUUCAUCGAGUGUCCCGCGUGGCCGGCAGAGUUUACUUUGAAAAAAUUAGAGUGCUCAAAGCAGGCUACACUUACGGCCUGAAUGCCUAUGCAUGGAAUAAUGGAAUAGGACCUCGGUUCUAUUUUGUCGGUUUUCUGAACCCGAGGUAAUGACUAAUAGGAACAGGCGGGGGCAUUCGUAUUGCGACGCUAGAGGUGAAAUUCUUGGACCGUCGCAAGACGAACUACUGCGAAAGCAUUUGCCAAGGAUGUUUUCAUUAAUCAAGAACGAAAGUUAGAGGUUCGAAGGCGAUCAGAUACCGCCCUAGUUCUAACCAUAAACGAUGCUGACCAGCGAUCCGCCGGCGUUAUUCCCAUGACCCGGCGGGCAGCUUCCGGGAAACCAAAGUCUUUGGGUUCCGGGGGAAGUAUGGUUGCAAAGCUGAAACUUAAAGGAAUUGACGGAAGGGCACCACCAGGAGUGGAGCCUGCGGCUUAAUUUGACUCAACACGGGGAACCUCACCAGGCCCAGACACCGGAAGGAUUGACAGAUUGAGAGCUCUUUCUCGAUUCGGUGGGUGGUGGUGCAUGGCCGUUCUUAGUUGGUGGAGCGAUUUGUCUGGUUAAUUCCGAUAACGAACGAGACUCUGGCCUACUAACUAGUCGACGGAUCUCCAGCAAUUGGUGUCCAGUUCGCAGCUUCUUCUUAGAGGGAUAAGCGGCAACUUUAGCCGCACGAGAUUGAGCAAUAACAGGUCUGUGAUGCCCUUAGAUGUUCUGGGCCGCACGCGCGCUACACUGAAGGGAUCAACGUGUCCUCCCCCUCCGAGAGGAGCGGGUAACCCGUUGAAAUCCUUUCAUGAUAGGGAUUGGGGUUUGCAAUUGUCUCCCAUGAACGAGGAAUUCCCAGUAAGCGCAAGUCAUGAGCUUGCGUUGAUUACGUCCCUGCCCUUUGUACACACCGCCCGUCGCUACUACCGAUUGAAUGAUUUAGUGAGGCCUUCGGACUGGCGCUCUUGGAUGCCGGGCCCACGCGGUUCCGCCGCUGGGCUUUCGGCGCCUCGAGCUGACGGAAAGAUGUCC